rnacentral:rRNA from 1 species
CCUACGGGGGGCAGCAGUGGGGAAUAUUGGACAAUGGGCGAAAGCCUGAUCCAGCCAUGCCGCGUGUGUGAAGAAGGCCUUCGGGUUGUAAAGCACUUUCAGUGGGGAAGAAAGCCUUGGGGCUAAUACCCUCGAGGAAGGACAUCACCCACAGAAGAAGCACCGGCUAACUCCGUGCCAGCAGCCGCGGUAAUACGGAGGGUGCGAGCGUUAAUCGGAAUUACUGGGCGUAAAGCGCGCGUAGGCGGUCUGAUAAGCCGGUUGUGAAAGCCCCGGGCUCAACCUGGGAACGGCAUCCGGAACUGUCAGGCUAGAGUGCAGGAGAGGAAGGUAGAAUUCCCGGUGUAGCGGUGAAAUGCGUAGAGAUCGGGAGGAAUACCAGUGGCGAAGGCGGCCUUCUGGACUGACACUGACGCUGAGGUGCGAAAGCGUGGGUAGCAAACAGGAUUAGAUACCCGAGUAUC